UGGGGUGCCCUAUACAUGCAAGUCGAACGAACUCUGGUAUUGAUUGGUGCUUGCAUCAUGAUUUACAUUUGAGUGAGUGGCGAACUGGUGAGUAACACGUGGGAAACCUGCCCAGAAGCGGGGGAUAACACCUGGAAACAGAUGCUAAUACCGCAUAACAACUUGGACCGCAUGGUCCGAGUUUGAAAGAUGGCUUCGGCUAUCACUUUUGGAUGGUCCCGCGGCGUAUUAGCUAGAUGGUGGGGUAACGGCUCACCAUGGCAAUGAUACGUAGCCGACCUGAGAGGGUAAUCGGCCACAUUGGGACUGAGACACGGCCCAAACUCCUACGGGAGGCAGCAGUAGGGAAUCUUCCACAAUGGACGAAAGUCUGAUGGAGCAACGCCGCGUGAGUGAAGAAGGGUUUCGGCUCGUAAAACUCUGUUGUUAAAGAAGAACAUAUCUGAGAGUAACUGUUCAGGUAUUGACGGUAUUUAACCAGAAAGCCACGGCUAACUACGUGCCAGCAGCCGCGGUAAUACGUAGGUGGCAAGCGUUGUCCGGAUUUAUUGGGCGUAAAGCGAGCGCAGGCGGUUUUUUAAGUCUGAUGUGAAAGCCUUCGGCUCAACCGAAGAAGUGCAUCGGAAACUGGGAAACUUGAGUGCAGAAGAGGACAGUGGAACUCCAUGUGUAGCGGUGAAAUGCGUAGAUAUAUGGAAGAACACCAGUGGCGAAGGCGGCUGUCUGGUCUGUAACUGACGCUGAGGCUCGAAAGUAUGGGUAGCAAACAGGAUUAGAUACCCUGGUAGUCCAUACCGUAAACGAUGAAUGCUAAGUGUUGGAGGGUUUCCGCCCUUCAGUGCUGCAGCUAACGCAUUAAGCAUUCCGCCUGGGGAGUACGGCCGCAAGGCUGAAACUCAAAGGAAUUGACGGGGGCCCGCACAAGCGGUGGAGCAUGUGGUUUAAUUCGAAGCUACGCGAAGAACCUUACCAGGUCUUGACAUACUAUGCAAAUCUAAGAGAUUAGACGUUCCCUUUGGGGACAUGGAUACAGGUGGUGCAUGGUUGUCGUCAGCUCGUGUCGUGAGAUGUUGGGUUAAGUCCCGCAACGAGCGCAACCCUUAUUAUCAGUUGCCAGCAUUAAGUUGGGCACUCUGGUGAGACUGCCGGUGACAAACCGGAGGAAGGUGGGGAUGACGUCAAAUCAUCAUGCCCCUUAUGACCUGGGCUACACACGUGCUACAAUGGAUGGUACAACGAGUUGCGAACUCGCGAGAGUAAGCUAAUCUCUUAAAGCCAUUCUCAGUUCGGAUUGUAGGCUGCAACUCGCCUACAUGAAGUCGGAAUCGCUAGUAAUCGCGGAUCAGCAUGCCGCGGUGAAUACGUUCCCGGGCCUUGUACACACCGCCCGUCACACCAUGAGAGUUUGUAACACCCAAAGUCGGUGGGGUAACCUUUUAGGAACCCAAGCCCCCGCCA
rnacentral:rRNA from 1 species